AUUUCAGAAACACAUGUUACAGCUGACCUUAGUCUAAGAUGGGGAAGACAAGGGAUGAUGCUGAUGAUUCAUGGAAGCCAUACAAAUGUGGAAUCUGUGGAAAGUACUUCCUGUAUGCAAUGAAUUUUAAAACACACGAAAGCAAACACAAGGAAUGCCAGGACUGUAAAAAGCUUGAUUCUAUGCCUGCAAAAUGCCCCCACGUCAAGUACAAUUGUGUCUAUUGUGACACAACAUUUCUUGAGCAUGCAGAUUUCAAAAAAUGCCAGGCUCAGCACAAAGCAAAGCCAGAAUGUCGGAUUUGCAAGAAGACGUUUAGACAGCUUUACUCCCUGAAAAUACACAUGAACAUUCAUACCGGACGUAGACCUUAUGUUUGUAACAUAUGUGGUUAUUCUUGUCAUUCCCCUCAGGUGCUUCGUCAUCAUGAACUGUUCAACCAUGUGCCCUGCCAGACAGUCUCCCAACAAUCCUAACUAUUUUAGGUUACAGUAAUUCCCCAAAUCAGUUACUCAAUGUGGCUACCACUCUUAUUGUAGUGCUUCUUAUGUUCAAAUUGGUGACACAUGCGUUGCCCAUAUUUUCAAAUUAGGUUAGAAUAUUUAGCAUUCAAUUUUGACAUACCCAGGUUCCAGAUUUACCAUCUAAGCAAAUAUUUUCCUUUGAAUUUGAAAUUAUAACAUAAAAACGUAUCUUUGUCGACUUGGAUCUAUCAUCGUUAUCAUAACUGCAAUAGCUUCAGAUUGAUAUUUUAUGAAAUAGAUGUUUUAUCAAGAUUCUAGAAGGUUUAAUAGAAAUGAACAGAAUACUAAAUAUUGAGAGUAAACUAGCCUAUAUUUUGCUGAUAAUUUAGUUUAGAUACUUAUUAUUGUAGCUCAAAUUAAUACCGAUUUAAAAGACACUAAAUCCUUCUUUAUUAAAGUUUACUUAAAUUCUAAAAAUCUUUUUAUGAUAACUUAUAUGUGAGGGAUAGGUUUUUGUCAAUACUGUUGAUUACAGGCUUCAUAUUUUAGUUUAGUGUAUUGUUGCUUAUACUAAAUGAAUAUAUUAUCAUGUUAACGUGAUUUUUUGAUCAUUGUAUUGCGCAGGAUGCUUAAGCCAACUUUUGAUAUUUUUAUAUUGGGGUAUAUUUCUUGAUAUGUAUGUUUAAGAUUUUUACUAAAUCUCAGAAAGUUUAUACGUUAUAAAAAUGUUUUGUAAAACAUCCUUUUAUACUUUUGUUACAUUGUUAAAUUCUCCAUUUUUAAGGUAAAGAUGCUGCAUGUGGAUAUGUAACUUUUAUAUUACUUGCACUUAUAUUAUACAGUUGUGAAUGGAAAGGUGAACCAACUUAAUAGAUUUCUUGUAAACUGUACUCCUGAAUCCUUAGCUUAAAUUAACCGCUAACUAUAAAAAGGUUCAUAGUGUAACACCACAUCUUCUGAAAAUCUUAAGGACAGACAGGAGUACAGUUUGAAUAAGUUCCCAUUCGACAACUGAGAUACCUAGGGUUUUUAUAUGUUCAUUUAUUAUGAAUCCGCUGGUCAGAACAGCAAAUAACAUGGCUAAGAAAUUAAAACUUUAUUAAACUUUUUUAUGAUUUAGCAAUUCUACUGCAGAGCAUGAGGUUUUCAAAUUCAGUGAGAGUACAUUGUAUAUUAUACAUUGUAUAUUAUACAUUGUACAUUAUGCAAUUAAAAAGGGCCCCCAGGAAGAGACGUUACGAUGAUUAUGAUAACCAAAAGAGCACAUUGCACAAUUUAUAUUAACAUUCUAGGAUACAAUUUUGUUGUAUUAUAUAACAAAUAACGACUUGCGGACUAGCGUUACUUUGUCAGUAAUCUUGAAUUUUAGGCAAUAAAAUAUUAGCAAUAUUACUGUAUAGUUUUGGUAUCGAACUAAGUGUGCUUUGUUAUGACUUUGUCGAACAUUGUAAGAGACUUGUAAGAGACUUCAAUGUUUGACAUGUGAUGAUUUUGUGUUGAAAAAUUCGAUAUUUUCAACCCAAGAUCCCUAAAGUUGAUUAACAGGUGAACUGGUCAUAGUGUUGACAACUAUGGUAUAAAAGAAUCAGUUUUAUAAUCCUAUAAAAUUGUGAAACUUAUACUUUUAAAAAAUACUGAAACGUCCAUCUAGUUACAUUUUUUGAGAUUUUGUGCAAUAUGGGACCAAAUGCGAGGUCAGGAAAUUGAAGCUGUAGUGUAGCUUUCUAAUCUACGAUAGCAUGUUUUUAGUUAUCAGCAUCGGGAACUAUCAGAUUUGUACUCAUUGAUUUUAUUACUUUGAUCU